GACGAACGCUGGCGGCGUGCUUAACACAUGCAAGUCGAACGGAAAGGCCCUGCUUGCAGGGUACUCGAGUGGCGAACGGGUGAGUAACACGUGGGUGAUCUGUCCUGCACUUCGGGAUAAGCCUGGGAAACUGGGUCUAAUACCGGAUAUGACCUUCCAUGUAGUGUGGGGGGUGGAAAGAUUUAUCGGUGUGGGAUGAGCCCGCGGCCUAUCAGCUUGUUGGUGGGGUAAUGGCCUACCAAGGCGUCGACGGGUAGCCGGCCUGAGAGGGUGGACGGCCACAUUGGGACUGAGAUACGGCCCAGACUCCUACGGGAGGCAGCAGUGGGGAAUAUUGCACAAUGGGCGGAAGCCUUAUGCAGCGACGCCGCGUGGGGGAUGACGGCCUUCGGGUUGUAAACCUCUUUCGACAGGGACGAAGCUUCGGUGACGGUACCUGUAGAAGAAGCACCGGCUAACUACGUG
rnacentral:rRNA from 1 species